rnacentral:rRNA from 3 species
GUAGAUCAGAAUGCUACGGUGAAUACGUUCCCGGGCCUUGUACACACCGCCCGUCACACCAUGGGAGUGGGUUGCAAAAGAAGUAGGUAGCUUAACCUUCGGGAGGGCGCUUACCACUUUGUGAUUCAUGACUGGGGUGAAGUCGUAACAAGGUAACCGUAGGGGAACCUGCGGUUGGAUCACCUCCUUACCUUAAAGAA